rnacentral:rRNA from 1 species
AGCGAACGCUGGCGGCAGGCCUAACACAUGCAAGUCGAACGAAGCCUUCGGGCUUAGUGGCGGACGGGUGAGUAACACGUGGGAACGUACCUUUUGGUUCGGAAUAACGCAGAGAAAUUUGCGCUAAUACCGAAUGAGCCCUUCGGGGGAAAGAUUUAUCGCCGAAAGAUCGGCCCGCGUUGGAUUAGGUAGUUGGUGUGGUAAAGGCGCACCAAGCCUACGAUCCAUAGCUGGUCUGAGAGGAUGAUCAGCCAAACUGGGACUGAGACACGGCCCAGACUCCUACGGGAGGCAGCAGUGGGGAAUCUUGCGCAAUGGGCGAAAGCCUGACGCAGCCAUGCCGCGUGAAUGAUGAAGGUCUUAGGAUUGUAAAAUUCUUUUACUAGGGACGAUAAUGACGGUACCUGGAGAAAAAGCCCCGGCUAACUUCGUGCCAGCCGCCGCCGUAAUAC